CCCCAAUAUUACAUUUUGGCGAGCCCACCAGGAGAGGGGUUCACCAGAAGAGGGGUACACCUGAAAAGGGGUACAGCCAGGAAAGGGGUACAGCCAAGAAAGGAGUACAGCUGGAGAAGACUUCACAAUUAGAUGGAGCUCUCAUUAUGUUGCCCAGGCGAGUCUCAAACUCCUAAGCUCAAGCAGUCCUUCCACCUCGGCUUCUCCAGGAGGCAGAACCCUUGGCAUGGUCAGUGACUUGUGAUUUCAUUGUCAACGCAACGAUGAUGAGGUACCAUGUUCAAGUGUUUUUGAGAGCAGGACAGAAUAAAGAACAUCAGGAGACAAACCUGAGAUCACUUACAGCCCAGGAGAAUUAAAGCUGGAAUGGGGCCAGGAAACCCUUUAUUUUGCAAUUGGAGGCAUUGACAAUUUUAAAUGAUGUGUUAUUAAUCAUAGUAGGAUAUUACAAUAAAUUAUAUGUGUUUGUGUGUGUGUCUGUGUUUAUAUAUCUACAAUAGUUGAAAAUAGUCUAUAAUCAAGACGUGCUUCCUCUUAUAAGCUCUAUCAAGCACAAGCUACAUGUGCACUUCAGUGUGUGUGUGUGUGUGUGUGUUUUCC
rnacentral:lncRNA from 1 species